rnacentral:lncRNA from 10 species
CUUCCUCUUCUGGUCAUGCCUUCACUAUUAAAUCACAUGUUAGGUAAUACAGGCAAAUAUGUGAGAAAAAAAGUCAAUCUACCUUUACUAAAAUAUUUAAGCACUAAACUAUUUUUUAGAGAAUUAUUUUUUAAAAAGGCCAGCAAAGGCUUCCAACUAAUACCAAAUUUGAUAAUGUUAACAUCUAAAGUUCUAAAAAACUUAUUAGUAAGCUUGAAAUUAUUUAGAUCAGGGGUGUUCAAUCUUUUGGUUUCUCUGGGCCACAGUGGAAGAACUGUGUUGUGCCACACAUAAAAUACACUAACACUCAUGACACCUGAUAAGCUUAAAAAAAAAUUGCAAAAAAAAUCUCAUAAUGUUUUAAGUAAGUUUACAAACUUGUGUUGGGCCACGUUCAAAGCUGUCCUGGGCCAUAUGUGGCCCAUGGGUUGGACAAGCUUGAUUUAGAGAAACUUUAGUGUUAUCCAGGAUUUUAAGCAAGGUUUCUAAAUAACAUAUACAGAAAACAGUAUCAUAUUUAUACAUGCAUAGUAUGGUAGAUGAAAUAUUCUAGAAUGCCAAAAUGAUGUGCUAAAGUUACAUAAUUCCAGGGAGAAAAAUCAUAAGUAGCUUCCUUGGCAAUAUCACGGAGGAACAUUUAUGAUGUAAGCAUUCAUCUCCAUGGAAACUGAUGACAAGGGAAAUCUGACGACUAAAAAGCUUUCAUGUACUGCUGAGUUUUCUAAGAAUACACUCAUUCAAAGAUUUUUUAAAUUAAACCAGAUGACUAAUAAAAUUUAUCUUACAUUUAUUAAGGAUUUCAAACAGAAUUCUGUUAUAAGUAAAUAUAAAGAAAUUUUCUUACCAAAACUGAUUUAUACGCCUUAAUUCUAUGUACAAUAUUAAGGCCUUUACAGGUAAAUCUCAGGCAGAAAAACCCAUGAGAUGCAAGAUGGGAUGCCAGUGACAUCAAAUGAGGAAGAUUCAUAUCUCCUGAUGCUCCAUGUUGAAAGUUGAAAAUAAAAUUACUCUGAAGCCACA